UAGUCAUAUGCUUGUCUCAGAGAUUAAGCCAUGCAUGUCUAAGUAUAAGCAAUCUUAUACGGCGAAACUGCGAAUGGCUCAUUAAAUCAGUUAUAGUCUACUUGAUCGUAUCCUCUUACAUGGAUAACCGUAGUAAAUCUAGAGCUAAUACAUGCUAAAAAUCCUGGACGCGGCAACGCGGAAGGGACGAGUUUAUUAGAUUAAAAACCGACACCUCUCCGCGAGGGGAGGUAGCACAGGUGAUUCACAGUAACCGAUCGGAUCGUCGGCCCCGCCGACGACGAUGCAUACGAGUUUCUGCCCUAUCAACUUUAGAUGGUAGAGUAUCGGUCUACCAUGGUCGUAACGGGUGACGGGGGAUUAGGGUUCGAUUCCGGAGAGGGAGCCUGAGAAACGGCUACCACUUCCAAGGAAGGCAGCAGGCGCGCAAAUUACCCAAUCCCGACACGGGGAGGUAGUGACAAGAAAUACCAUUGUAAUGUCUCCUCGAGAGGCUUACGAUUGGAAUGAGUACAAUUUAAAUCCCUUAACGAGUAACGAUU
rnacentral:rRNA from 1 species